AUUUUCUGGAACAAAUUUGAAAAUACCAGAAAAUUCAAGUUUCCGCAUAUUAUAAAGCCUAUCGUUUAGAGUUUAGCAGAUUCCACGGGGAAUUUUCUAUGUGUCUAGGAAAUGGAGGAAAAACAUCAGCGUAUUACUCACAAAGAGAAACGUUUCCUCUUUUAACCGAUUACGAAACGAAGAAAGAAGGCGGUUCUAAAUUUACAUUGGUUCAUUUUGCAUCCUCGUCGACGAGGUGAACGCGCUCUUCGACCAGCGACAUCUCGCCAGAGAGCCAUCUUCGGCGACGAGAGAACUGGAACAAGGUGUACGAUGAAUUUUCUACGAGAUGUUUGAGAGCACUGCCAAUGAUUCAGCGUUUCUGACCGAUUGCUACAAGAGUGAGAGGGAGAGUAUCGAUAAUGCACGUGCCUCAUUUUACAUUGUUGCAUAUCUUGAUGGAGAACAUUCAAAGUUUCAUACUGCCUUCUUGGAAAUCAAUAAGAUUAGAGAGUACUUUGAGAUCUCCUUAAAUAACUUAAACUCAUUUCAUCUAUUUAAUGCUAAUAGAUAUAAAUGAUUAUACAUCUUAUUAAUCUCAGUUGGUAAUAUUCCUAAAUGUAAAGUAAAGGAUUAGGAAGAAGUUUAUGGAACCCAGUCACAUAUUCGAUAGCGUAGCUGUAGGCGCGAACCAGACAUAAUAAGGCAUUUGUAUGUUCAUCGUGAUUUUGAUAUUCGAGGUCCCGUCUUUUUAACCAUGCUUUUAAAUCAAGGAUCGAGAAUAGCAAAAAGAAGGAAGCUUUAAACGGGCAACGUAAAAUCAUCAAUAGUAACGUAGAAUCAGCGAGACAUCGUAAUUCAAUUAAAAAUGAAACAGAAAACAGUCGAUAACGGAGUACGUUAACAGAUUAAAAAGGUAUAGAGAAAUGUAGUCCUUUUUUUCGAAAAUGCAUGCGCUUAAAUGAAUCCAUCAAUUCUCUCUAGAAAUACGAUGAAAGCACGUGUACAGUAUACAGUGUACUACGUAUACGUCACGGGAGUAGAAAGAGAUGGAAAAAGAAAGAAAAAGAGAGACAGAGAGAUACAAAUCCAGUCGAUGGAAAUGUUACUGUAAAUCCGCGUCAAGAUCAGAGCUGACGUCAUCCUCUGACGCACCAUCAUCUGACAUACUCUGCAUUGUUCAGCGAACGUUCGAAAAUGUAUAUUUUCUAUUGGCAAAUACUGUUAUCGUUUUUCAAACGUCAAUAUUCAUCAGUUUCUAAUUAUCACAUCACCAAUUACUCAGUUUACAACCUACAAAUAAAAAAAUCGAUUAUCGAGUCAAAGGAAAUGUUAAAGGUCAAACAAAAAUCUAAAGUCAGAUGAAACAUUUGUUUUACAUUUUCUCAAUUCUUUCACUUUUUUAAUUACGUGUAAUUCUAACGUUAUGGAAUACUUGAUAUAUAAAAAAAAUGUAUAUAAAAAAAUUGAUAUAAUUUUUAAAAAAGAAGUUCAAUAUGGCUAAUUACACUUUAUCGCGGUAACUUCUUUAAUUUAAAAUUAAUUUCGGUAAUAUAAAAUUUCAAAUUAUCAAAAUAUCAAAUUAUGAUUCAUAAAAUAUAUAGGAAAAGUGAAAGGUGAUUAUAAGUUACUGUAUUUAAAUUAUGUUUGACGUCCAAAGAGAUUAAUUUAUUUAUCAAUUAUUAACUACAAUUAAAAUUGCAACCAUAUAUUAAUUGAUGCUGAAAGAUAAUAAAAUCCAAUUAAACUGAAUAAGAGCGUACAGGAAUUUGAUUAUCAAUCAUGUAAUACAUGUUACAGGAAAAUGGUAGUUUCGAUACGUGCUGCCAUCUUCGUAAUUGGUUGAUGCUUCUGGUAAGGCAGAGAACUGUACGUCAUUGUAAACAAUGACUUAGAUUCUACAUGAGAAUGAAUAGAACAUCUCGCGUUUGCGGACUCUGUAACAGGUGUUCCUGUUUCUGGAGGGGAGUUCGGACUGCUGGUUGCACAUCAGUGAUUUCUAUCUUCGACAUCAGACGUUGUCUUUUCGCUGCCAAAAUUGUACCCAGGAAACUGAAAUAUCGAGGUAAAGUAGGCAGGUGUGCUUCCUGCAGACGUACAAGUACAUAUACAUAAUAAGAAGAUAAUAUUCAAGCAUAGAGAAGGAGCAGCGAGCGUAAGAGUGUGAGUGAUCACGUCCUGUACUUUCCUAAGCACCUGCGGAGCCAGAACAGAUCCGGCAGGUGCAAAAAGGAUACGGGAAACCCCGAAGAACUUUAUGCAAUCCUCGUUGAACGGCUAUACUUUAUAAGUAGGUAUUAUAUUUCUAAGAAAAGCAUUAAAAAAAGAAAGCGAUAUGGCUCAAAGCGCGGAGGUUUAAAUGUUUAAAGCAAGCCUUCUGGUAUAGAGCGCGGCGAUUUUCCUGCCGUUUCCCUGGUAACUUUUGCGUCAGCCUUUAUCGCCGGAAAAAAACUCGUUAGCUUGGCGCGGCCUAGCUGGCCUGCUUCCAGAACAAACCGCCAGAGGUCCGGCGUUACGUGCGAACCGAGGCCGCGCCGAUGAAUUUGGUGACGUAAGAGAAUAAAACCACCAUAAAGGCUUGCUGGUUCAUUAGCGCAAACCGCGGAGCAUGGCAUCCUUGUAGAGAGAGCGAGGUUAUAAUCCAUAGUCUGAUCUCAGUGUAUCCACAGUACGUACCUUUAAAACGUGCGUUGCGUUGGCACAGAACUCCGACAUUCCACUAGACUUACUGACUAAAGGAUAGUAAAACGAUAAAACAUUUACGAUCACGGAAAGUUUUCAGAUCUAUUUCACCUAAUAUUUAUAUGUAUUUUAAACAUAGUUUUACAUUAAUUACAGAGAGACAAAAGAACACGAGAGUGAAAAAAAGAUUAGAUACAAUGUUUUAUAUAGGUUAAUGCAAGUAGAAAUUAUUUCAAAAAUUGUUCGUUGCAUUGUGUUACGCAUGCGCAGUAAUGCAGAGUCGCUGUUAUUACACGGUACAAAGAUUCGGUCGAUUAUCGGAAUUAAAUAUAUUUAUUAUUAUUAUUGAAUAUUUCACAGUAAAUGUUUCAAUUAAUAAUCACUAUGUAUUAAUUUGUACCGUCAGUAGAAUAUAUUAAUAUGCGUCAUUGACGUUCCUAUAUUUCUUUUUAUUUUUAAAUAUUUGAUACAUGCUACUGUAAUUGUUACAAGAGUAAAUUACUUUUCGAAACGCGUUUGGUUUUUGAAUUAUCGACAUGUAGUCCUCCGGUUGUUCAGUGCUGCAGCGAAACGCAGCAAUAAGGAGAGAUAAUAUACAUACUUGACUUCCACUCGAAGAGGUCGGGUAGAUAAGAGAAGAGUGAACCUGCGAAAUUGACUUUCGUAAUUACCGACCGAGAAUGCGCCAGUAUCCAAGAAGUCAUCUCGAAAAUCCAAUUAGUGGAGAACUGCUUAACGGAGCACCAGUCACUUAAAUUGUACUUUACCAAUUUCCUUUCUUAUUAGAGGAUCAAAUGGCAAAUGAAUGAAAUAAGCGUGGUAUGUGCAGUAUAAACACAAAAUUUAGCGAUUAUAUACAUCUUGCCUUGUGCAUGCUGCAAUUUGCAAAGAAUGAGAUACUGCCUCUACUUGCAAUUAUAUUUCUGGUAAAGAAGUUACGAGUUGGAAGUAUCUUAAAUAUUUCUAUAUUGCACUACAAGAAUUAAGCCAAAUUAACUUCUAAAAAAGUCUUGAACAUCAAGUAUCAAUUUCCAAUUUUAACUGAAUAGAAAUUACCACCAAGAAGUAUUCUGUAAGCUGUGGCAAGCAGUACAAUUUUUGGUCUCGAAAGAAAGUGCGCCACUGUUAUGCAAUUAAGAUUUUAAUAGAACUCUCAUGUCCGUGAAUCUCCGUUGGCCGCACCGAACACUGCAUCCCUCAAGGGGUUAAUUUCAUUUCGACUGUCUGGGCAACAUGUGAAUCGAAGGUGUGCAUCACGAAAGAACCUGCCACUGCACCAGCGUGUAUUGUUGUCGUCGACGUCGAAAGAGUUCAGUGUCAAACGUCAGCGAUUUGUUUUCAUGAUGCACGAACGCUAUGGUUGCACAACAACGAUUUAUCGCUGACGAAUGUUAUUGGCGACUCGUGAUCAGCGUGUACGCAAUAUCUUCACGGACGAGCCAUCGUAAUGCCGAGCGAGCCGAUUUUAAAAAUCAAUUCAUCUCCACGCGCCUGCGGCGCGCUAUUGAAUUCUUGCCUAUUCAUGAAGGGAUUCCCGGAGUUUCAUCUCGUGAAAAUGCAUGGAGUCCGACAAUUAACAUCGCAUCCAUUCACGUAAGCUCGGUGGCAUUACGGAAAGGAAAAAAAAUAAGCGUUCAUUCAUGAAAACUCUUAUCUGCGUAUACAUAGCCAUAGAUUACCAACCCCGUUUCAUUCACACGUUCGUAAAACAGGUUGAAUUUAUCGCUGACAUCUUCCCGUUGAAAAAAGGACCAUAUCAAUUUUACAAACCCCAUUAUUUUAUAUUUCAUCUUCUUCCAAUUUUUAUCCAAGAUACCAAGAAUUCCAAUUUUAUUACCACGAAUUACUGUAAAUUGACAAAAAUCAACGCAUUCGCUUCAAUUACUCUAAAAUAACAAGAAGAAAACCAUAGGAACUAAACUGAAGAACACUACCAUGUUACAACACCUUUAAUUGACUCAAAAAUGAUGGCAGUAAGGAAACCAUAGAAACCAAAUAGAAGCUAUAACAUCGUCAUUUCUUCAUCAUAACAAAUCCAAUCGAAUUCAUUUCACCAGUUAAUCCACAAACAUUUCUUUUAUCCAAAAAUGUCAUGGAAGAAACGGUAUCGAAAGAAACUAAGCAGGAGCAUCGUCGAAUCGACUCACGUGCACUGGAAUACAGGCGAGCUUCGAGUCAUAGUGCAGGAUAUAUGACGCAAAUCGAAUGCACGCGGUUCUGUUUACGUACGAGAUAAGAGUUUGUCCUGGGUCAAGGCUGCACGCAGUUUGAUAAUCCAAUUCAGAUAACGGGAACGUGCAUAGAGUUUGCUGGACCUUGAGUACAUACAUACAUAUAUAUACAUAUAACGACGGUGUACGCGAGAAAGAGAAACGUCCGAAGAGAAUACACACGAGGCAGCGCAAGGCAAGGCGAGUCUCAAUGACUCAUUUCGCGAGCAAUUUGUCAAAUCAUCCGCCCCUUCUCUCCCCUCAAAAGACCCGCCCUCGUUCCCUCUCCUUCAAACGGAAAGACUCACGUUUAUCGUGAAUAGUACGCCUAACGUGCGCACGUGACAUUUCGAGUAUCUCGAAUUAAACUGUAAACAUCGUAGUACAACCGACGGUUGAAGACCAGCCACGCGGACAGUGUCAAUGAUCCUACUAUUUAUUGGAUCGUUGCUUACGCACGGCGCCAUAUGUCUGUGGAUAUGUACGUGUACACAUCCGGCUAUAUGUGUGCGGGCAUCUCUCCUUCCUCGUCUCGCUUUUGUCAGUCGUGACCUCGAAGGUUAUUUCGUCUGUCUACCUCUUUAUCUUCUGAAUCUCCUUGCGAGACCCGAUUUUCGAAAUCUUUCAUUCAGAUGUUCUGC